CCUACGGGAGGCUGCAGUGGGGAAUAUUGGACAAUGGGGGGAACCCUGAUCCAGCCAUGCCGCGUGUGUGAAGAAGGCCCUCGGGUUGUAAAGCACUUUCAGUGAGGAAGAACGCCUGGUGGUUAAUACCCAUCAGGAAAGACAUCACUCACAGAAGAAGCACCGGCUAACUCCGUGCCAGCAGCCGCGGUAAUACGGAGGGUGCGAGCGUUAAUCGGAAUUACUGGGCGUAAAGCGCGCGUAGGUGGCUUGAUAAGCCGGUUGUGAAAGCCCCGGGCUCAACCUGGGAACGGCAUCCGGAACUGUCAAGCUAGAGUGCAGGAGAGGAAGGUAGAAUUCCCGGUGUAGCGGUGAAAUGCGUAGAGAUCGGGAGGAAUACCAGUGGCGAAGGCGACCUUCUGGACUGACACUGACACUGAGGUGCGAAAGCGUGGGUAGCAAACAGGAUUAGAUACCCCGGUAGUC
rnacentral:rRNA from 1 species